GAGAAGCAAUGCUGUUUCACCUCCCUGAGAGAAUUGCCUUGUUUGUGAAAUACUACAGAAAAACCUGUAUUUUCUCCAGAAAAUGAAAGGUCUUGGCCUGAGUAAAUCAAGGCAGAAAACUCACCCCCGUGAAAGCUGCAGCUCUGAGAGUGUGUGGGCAGGGCUUCAACAGAAUACCUGUGGCUGCACUUACAAAAGGCAGCCAGAAGGACCCGUCCAUUCUGGAAAGUACCUUUAGUCUGAAAGCAUUUAUUGCAGAAAAAAUAUGAGGCUUGCUGGUAGUAUUCCCAGGUGACAAAUGUGCACCCAACACCCUACAGAAAAGAAGAACCAUAAAAUAAUUAAUUAUUCCAUUGUAACUCCUGCCUGGAAAACAUCUGGUAUGUAACAUCA
rnacentral:lncRNA from 1 species